rnacentral:lncRNA from 1 species
CCUUAAAAGAAAAUUAUGUGCAUAUGAUUCACCUAUGAUUCCGUAGAAGAAGAUGCUGAGACCUAGUCAGCAUAAAUGCUGAAUCUAAAAGUCAUCUAAUAACAAUCAUAUAGUUUCCUUGUUAAUAACCAUUUGAAGUCCUCAAUCUCUAUAGUGUAAAUUAAUAUAAUUUUGUUAUUGAAAUUGUUGUAUCAAAAAUUCUGACUCCACCUAC